AUGGUGUUGCUUGACAUCAGGGGCAUGCUACAGUCCAUGGGCAAAGACAUAGCGUUGUUCCCUCUUCCGGACAUCGACGAGACCUAUGAAACUACUCGAGGUGAGGCCAGAGAAGUCACUGAGGAGUUCGCCAUCGAGGUUGAUGCAAACGACACUGAUUUGGCGUCCUCGCUAAACCCUGAGCAGAGGCUUGCAUACGACGAGAUACUGGCAGCAGUUGAUGCUGGUGAUGGUGGUGUAUUCUUUGUCGAUGGCCCGGGAGGCACCGGGAAGACCUUCCUAUACAGGUCACUUCUCGCAAAGGUUCGAGGCGAGGGCAAGAUCGCGCUAGCUACAGCGACGUCAGGCGUCGCGGCUUCCAUCAUGCCUGGAGGAAGGACAGCCCACUCGAGGUUCAAGAUCCCACUCAACAUUGAAGAUGGGGGGUCGUGCAGCUUCAUGAAGCAAAGUAGGACGGCCAAGCUCCUGCACAUGGCUUCACUCAUCCUAUGGGACGAGGCCACCAUGACGAAGCGGUAA
rnacentral:rRNA from 1 species